rnacentral:rRNA from 1 species
UACGGAGGGUGCAAGCGUUAUCCGGAUUCACUGGGUUUAAAGGGUGCGUAGGCGGGCAGGUAAGUCCGUGGUGAAAUCUCUGAGCUUAACUCAGAAACUGCCAUGGAUACUAUUUGUCUUGAAUGUUGUGGAGGUAAGCGGAAUAUGUCAUGUAGCGGUGAAAUGCUUAGAUAUGACAUAGAACACCAUUUGCGAAGGCAGCUUACUACACAAAUAUUGACGCUGAGGCACGAAAGCGUGGGGAUCAAACAGG